CCUACGGGUGGCUGCAGUGGGGAAUAUUGGACAAUGGGGGCAACCCUGAUCCAGCCAUGCCGCGUGUGUGAAGAAGGCCCUCGGGUUGUAAAGCACUUUCAGUGAGGAAGAACGCCUGGUGGUUAAUACCCAUCAGGAAAGACAUCACUCACAGAAGAAGCACCAGCUAACUCCGUGCCAGCAGCCGCGGUAAUACGGAGGGUGCGAGCGUUAAUCGGAAUUACUGGGCGUAAAGCGCGCGUAGGUGGCUUGAUAAGCCGGUUGUGAAAGCCCCGGGCUCAACCUGGGAACGGCAUCCGGAACUGUCAAGCUAGAGUGCAGGAGAGGAAGGUAGAAUUCCCGGUGUAGCGGUGAAAUGCGUAGAGAUCGGGAGGAAUACCAGUGGCGAAGGCGGCCUUCUGGACUGACACUGACACUGAGGUGCGAAAGCGUGGGUAGCAAACAGGAUUAGAUACCCCGGUAGUC
rnacentral:rRNA from 1 species